UGAGGAAUAUUGGUCAAUGGGCGCGAGCCUGAACCAGCCAAGUAGCGUGCAGGAUGACGGCCCUAUGGGUUGUAAACUGCUUUUGUAUGGGGAUAAAGUCAAUCACGUGUGAUUGUUUGCAGGUACCAUACGAAUAAGGACCGGCUAAUUCCGUGCCAGCAGCCGCGGUAAUACGGAAGGUCCAGGCGUUAUCCGGAUUUAUUGGGUUUAAAGGGAGUGUAGGCGGUUUGUUAAGCGUGUUGUGAAAUUUAGAUGCUCAACAUUUAACUUGCAGCGCGAACUGUCAGACUUGAGUACACGCAACGUAUGCGGAAUUCAUGGUGUAGCGGUGAAAUGCUUAGAUAUCAUGAAGAACUCCGAUUGCGAAGGCAGCAUACGGGAGUGUAACUGACGCUUAAGCUCGAAGGUGCGGGUAUCGAACAGGAUUAGAUACCCUGGUAGUCCGCACAGUAAACGAUGGAUGCCCGCUGUUAGCGCCUGGCGUUAGCGGCUAAGCGAAAGCAUUAAGCAUCCCACCUGGGGAGUACGCCGGCAACGGUG
rnacentral:rRNA from 1 species